ACCAUAGCGUUUUGGACCCACCUGAACCCAUUCCGAACUCAGAAGUGAAACGAAAUAGCGUCGAUGGUAGUGUGGGGUUUCCCCAUGUGAGAGUAGAACAUCGCCAGGC
rnacentral:rRNA from 1 species